rnacentral:rRNA from 1 species
CUUGUACACACCGCCCGUCACACCAUGGGAGCCGGGUUCUGCCAGAAGUAGUUAGCCUAACCGCGAAGGAGGGCGAUUACCACGGCAGGGUUCGUGACUGGGGUG